rnacentral:rRNA from 1 species
AGUGAACGCUGGCGGUAGGCCUAACACAUGCAAGUCGAACGGCAGCACAGGAGAGCUUGCUCUCUAGGUGGCGAGUGGCGGACGGGUGAGGAAUACAUCGGAAUCUGCCCAGUCGUGGGGGUAAAGUAAGGGAAACUUACGCUAAUACCGCAUACGACCUUCGGUUGAAAGAGGGGGAUCGCAAGACCUCUCGCGUUUGAAUGAGCCGAUGUCGGAUUAGCUAGUUAGCGGGGUAAUGGCCCACCAAGGCGACGAUCCGUAGCUGGUCUGAGAGGAUGAUCAGCCACACUGGAACUGAGACACGGUCCAGACUCCUACGGGAGGCAGCAGUGGGGAAUAUUGGACAAUGGGCGCAAGCCUGAUCCAGCCAUACCGCGUGGGUGAAGAAGGCCUUCGGGUUGUAAAGCCCUUUUGUUGGGAAAGAAAUCUUUCAGGCUAAUACCCUGGGAGGAUGACGGUACCCAAAGAAUAAGCACCGGCUAACUUCGUG